UACGUAGGUGGCAAGCGUUGUCCGGAUUUACUGGGCGUAAAGAGCGCGCAGGCGGCCAAGUCAGUCGAAUGUGAAAGCCCCCGGCUCAACUGGGGAGGGUCAUUCGAUACUGCUCGGCUCGAAGACAGGAGAGGGAAGUGGAAUUCCCGGUGUAGUGGUGAAAUGCGUAGAUAUCGGGAGGAACACCAGUGGCGAAGGCGGUUACCUGGAGCUUUGCUGACGCUGAUGCGCGAAAGCGUGGGGAGCGAUCUGG
rnacentral:rRNA from 1 species